ACGGAAGGCAGCAGUGGGGAAUAUUGGUCAAUGGGGGAAACCCUGAACCAGCGACGCCGCGUGAGUGAAGAAGUAUUUCGGUAUGUAAAGCUCUAUCAGCAGGGACGAUAAUGACGGUACCUGACUAAGAAGCCCCGGCUAACUACGUGCCAGCAGCCGCGGUAAUACGUAGGGGGCAAGCGUUAUCCGGAUUUACUGGGUGUAAAGGGAGUGUAGGUGGCCAUGCAAGUCAGAUGUGAAAUCCCGGGGCUCAACCCCGGAGCUGCAUUUGAAACUGCGUAGCUAGAGUGCAGGAGAGGUAAGCGGAAUUCCUAGUGUAGCGGUGAAAUGCGUAGAUAUUAGGAGGAACACCAGUGGCGAAAGCGGCUUGCUGGACUGCAACUGACACUGAGGCUCGAAAGCGUGGGGAGCAAACAGGAUUAGAUACCCUGGUA
rnacentral:rRNA from 1 species